UGGCUAGAGCUCUGAUUGCAUUAUCAACAAAAAAAUUCGGUAACGGCCCAUGAACUUACAACUGUAUAAUUAUAACAGGGUACUACAUGUGAUUUUUAUUAUUGAAAAAUAUUAAAAAAUGUUAGUGUUAAAAAAGUCAUAUGUGCACCGUACAAAAGUGUUAUUAAUUACUGGUGUAAUGCUGAUUACCGCAUGCUUGUAUACAAAAUAACUAAAUACUCCUUCCAUACAUCUAAUGUAAUAACGAGUUUAUGCGAAUGCCUUAGUUGACAAUCUCACUAUGUGCAGGAAAGCUUUUCUAGUAGAAUACUUAUGUCUAUUUUAGCGGUAGUAUUCCCUCAUCGCUUCUCGUUCUGCGUACUGUGGAGUUGCUAUAGCACUCACUCUUCCCAUUGAUAUUUCAUCUUCUUCAACCAUAUACUUCCCAGCACUAUUAAGU